CAGCGACAGGGGUGCAACCUUUGUCCUGAGUUUGUUGCGGGGCCUGUCUUGUUUACAAGUUCUGCCGUCAAGAUCUUAUUUCGGAAAACGUAUCCACUCUAAAGUUUUUACAUAUGUGAGUUCUGUUUGAAUAGCUGCUAGAAUUUUUCAGUUUUAUAGGGAUUGUUGUAAUACGAGUGUUAUUAUUAUGUUCUUUCUUAAGAUUGCUCGACAUAUAAUUGUGCGUCUGGCAGCCGGGCGGCAAGUGUCAAAAUCGUGUUCGCUUACUCCGUAAAUUAUCCCAGAAACAAGUCGUAAACUUCUACACUAUUUAUGAUAAACGUAACUGAAGGAGCUUAACAUGAUAAAUAAACAUGCUGUGGGCAUGUUCGUAUUUUUUGGCCUUUCACGAACUUUAACUGUGGGCAUCCCAUUGGCCUCCAUUCGGGUAGCGUGCCACAUGUCUGUAUAGCGGGUGUUGGUGUUCACGGACUAUGCAGAUAAUUAUUAUUAUGCCUUGAAUCAGCCUUACGGAGUAAUCGCAGGUUUUUAUUACCUAAGCCAUCAAUUAAUUCCGCCUAGUCAAGUCACGCAAGUCUGCGCAGCCAUAGGGACAGGCCGGGAUUUCGAGCGACUUCAAGAAACGAAUCUGUGCACAGACAUGAACCAAGAUCUUGACAUGAACAACGCCAUAUAGACGUGCUGGGCGAGUCCAUAUUACACCAUACGUACGUACGUAGGGUCAAGUCGAUCCGUCGCAAGACUCCUUGACGAGACCCGUACGUCGUUCUGCACUACGCUACCGAGUAUAAGACAUUUUCCAAGGUGUCAGUCCUCGCCACACGCAUGAACAGAGUAUAGUAUACUGUUUCAUCUAUAGUGAUUCCCACGGGUCCUUUCCUUCCCGCCGCUCUACCACACAGUCCCAACAUCUAUUUUUUCCUUUCAUUAUUAUUAUAUAUUAUCAUUAUUAUUAUUAAGUUUCAUAUGAUAGUUGUAAGUAACAUGUGGCAGUGAUUCUUGGCUUAUUAGAAAUAAUCACAAAAUACUGAUCAUGUAUAUUGUACAAUUUUCAGUGAUAUAUUGCUUCCUUCGACUUUGUGUGAAGAGUUAAAAAUUCAUUUUUUACCAAUGCAUGACCACAGUACAGGUGAAUAAGAUAUGAAGCAGUGUCGAGCAUCUUGAUGGGACAGUAAACGAACGACCUGUUCAGUUUUUUGUGUACAGCAGUGCUUUCCCAGCCUUCCGAGGCCAAGGGGCUAGCACUGGCAGUGGACUUGACUUGUAGAGGCGAAUUCCUGCUGGUGCUGAAGCUGCGGGUUGUCCUGAGCAGACUCAAGGACCUGCCGUUCUUCUCGGGGAUACUGGUAGGACGAGGCGACACCCGCGACCUCGACCAACAUAGGGACAACCAGCCCCCUCUUCCAGGCAGGAGGAAUUGCACCAGACUACCACACAACAGACAGCACUGCAUGCAACCCAUGAAUCAUGGCUUCACCACAGCCAUUCAGUAUCUCUGCGCUGAAAUUACAGAUCCAAGCUGCCUUUCCACCCUUCAACUUCCUUAUAACCUCUCUCACCUCCACAAGAGAGGGUGGAGAUUUGUCUAUUGGUGGAUCAGCAGCCGCUAUCUGCAGCCCAAACAGAGGGAGCUGCCCGCUUGGGGGCUCUGUCAUUUGCACCAACCCAACGUACUCACCCCAACGAGCCUGUUACCAUCUGCAUUUGAUACUAUCUGUCCAUCAGCCAUUCGGAUAGUACUCAUCUGAUAUGUGGAUUUGGAGUGGAGCUUCUUCAGAGCUAGGAAGUCAGGUCUAAGGUUGUUUGCAUUAAGAUAACCCUUGACUUCCUUAUAAGACCUCUGACAUACCUCUCCUUAUCCCACCUCAGAAGGUUUUAGUCUUUUGUGACAGAGUCCUGUAUUGCUCUAAGUCCCGAGUCAGUCUGGCAGCACGACUCUUCUCUAUGUUCUCCAGUGUCACCUUCAAAGCCUUGGACGCUCUCCAGUGCGCUCCUCAGCAGCUUUGAGAGUUUCAUGUUUGAAAGUAUCCCACAACUGUCCAUGGUCCUCCAGAGCACCAAGCACCCCAAACCGAUCUGAGACUGCCUGGUCCCUCAGUUUCUGAAAAUGGAACCCUGGAGGGUUGCAUCUUGAGAUUUUCUUAGACCUGAUGCAUAUCCAUGGUGUUGCAACAAGUCUAUGGUUGGUCACAAAGAACUCAGCACUCUGGACAACCCUUCAUUUCUGAAGGAUCCUCCAACGAGUACCGACAAGGAUGUGAUCAAUCUUCUUUAUCAUACCGCUAGUAUUGCUAUACCAAGUCUCUGGAACCAGGAACCAGCAAACCAGCAAAGUCCAUUCUUUUGGACUUUGCAAAGUUCAGUAGUAAAAUGUUUGUUUCUUGUGCCAGAGCCAUGGGGAUCAACACAUAACUGAUAGUCAACGCUCUGUACCAGCCAUUGCACUGGUCACUCAAGACAAUGAGUCUGUCACGGUGGGGAGGGGGAAGGGGGUUGACUAUAGAGUCAAGCUUGGCAUAGAAUAUCUCUAUGAUAAGAUAACUUACGUUAGUAAAUAGUUAUCAAUAUCAAUAAUAUGCAGGUAGCAGUGAUUAAUACUAUCACUUACUUUAGUGUCAUUAUAUUAAUAAUGUUGCAGACAAGACAGCUCUGUAGACGGCAGCACCAGGAAGUUUUCCUUUCUUACAUCAGACCUAUAGCACUAGUAGGCUUUCCUAAUUGGGCCUGGUGGUCGGUCCAAGCCCGUCAUGGCGCAGGCAAAUGUUUAUAGUGGCACCAUUUAUUCUUGGCUCAUGCUCCCCCCCCUGGAGCUCAUUCUUGAUUUCCCUUGGACAGUCCCUCUUGAGUCUGGAUUGAUGGGUGGUCUUCAAGACAGCAUGAGGGUAGUCUUAGGCCACUUGGCGCCGACUGAAAGUUCCCAGGUGGUAAUGGCAGAUUUGAACCUGCAUCAUCAUGUCCCAUAACGUGGCGAACACGGGACCAGCACACUAACCACUCAGCCACCGCCUCCACAAUUUUAAUCAGUAACCUAAUAAAUUAACAAAACACUAACAGUAUUAAUAAUGUGAAACUCAAAUUCAACUAUAAUUGACAGUAUUCAUCAUUGCUGCCUGCAUAUUAUUGAUAGUGAUAAGUAUUGCCUAUGCAUACAUGUAGUCUUUCAUAUAUUAUCCACUGAAAGACACAGUGUGUGACAUCAGGCUUGCAGACCACUGUAAUGCACACCUUGGACUCAGGCACCAGGAUUGUAAUAGUAGUAUUAGAUAUUAUCUAGUAAUGAUGGUAGAAAUAGCAGUAAUACUUCAUCAGUGGCAGUAUUACCACUUGUGUGGUGUUGUGGUUAGUAUACCUAACUUAGGAUCUGCAGGCUUGGGUUCAAUCCUGUCCCAGGGCAGUUGGCACCUAACUUACCCAGCUGUUCCUCCUUCCUUUCAGGUUGGUUGAUAGCUUGGUAUAUAGGUGCCUGGGGAAGAUUUGUAAGCUUUACUCUAGUAACACUUACCCUGUAGCCAACCUCAGGGUAAUGGGUUCAUAUCCACCACAGGCGUAAGGGCCAAUGAGACAGAGAUGAGGACUGAGGCCAGGCCAUGCUCAAGUAAGUGUAUUUUGCCAACUUCACCUUUAAGUAGUAAAAGUAGUACUUAAAUAUGUAGUAGUGUAGCAGUAGAUUCUGAUGUCAGCCUUCACUCUUUAGUCCUGUUGACUGAUUAUGCUUACCAUGUUAGUAAUUUUACCGUUACCCAGUUUAUAGUGAUGCAUUUGUUGCCAAGUUGUGUAGAUGUCUCAAGUCAAGGUAAUAUAAUCACUUCAUUACAUUUAAAUAAAGUAUUUUAUUUAACAUUUUAAAAAGCAUAAUGUACAGCUAAGUUACAAGAUCCUCUGGGUGAUCAUGAACAUAAAAUGCUGCCCACACCUGCCCGGUGACCCCUACUGGACGCUGUAUCAGCCCCCCACACGGCAACCUUUCCUCACCAAGUUCAAUGCGAGUUGUUUGUAUCACUUAAUAGGAUAUGAAAGCCCCUCUACCUCAGUACAGCACACAGCACACUACUCUGCAGUGCAGCACCCAUGGGCAGCACUGCACCUCUCAGGGCUCACUAACAGUGUCUAGUCAGUGUACAAAACUUAACUAAUUUCUACUUUUACUGAAAAAAAUAAAACUCUUGAGGCUCCACUGACUGCAUAUUGCAUAAUUAAAUAUGACAAGAUUUUUUCUUUUAUAUAGAUAUAAAAGUCAGAUCAAUAAAUGCUCUGUCUUGGAGUAAACACAGACCCUCAGUUGACUUAUGCUCUCAAGAUUAACUUAGUGAUAAUCCUUGUAACUAAAGCUCUCAUACCAGGGAAAAGGGAAAAAUGUACAAAACACUUCUUGAAAGACAAGGAAUAAUGCAAAAUAUACAGUGGAAACAAAGAUUUAAAGUACACAAAACCGGUAGCGUCCUUGCCAGUCUUGGUGACCAACAACGCUACCUGGCAUUUGGCUACAAUAAAUAAAGAAAAAAGCCUCUACAGAUGGAUACAAAACUAGCCCAGAGGAGCCUCUCUCCCCUCCCACC